UACGGAGGGUGCAAGCGUUGUCCGGAAUCACUGGGCGUAAAGGGCGCGUAGGCGGCUCAUGAAGGCUGUGGUGAAAGUCCGGGGCUCAACCCCGGAUCUGCCGUGCCGACUGUCAGACUCGAGGACUGUAGAGGCAGGCGGAAUUCCGGGUGUAGCGGUGGAAUGCGUAGAGAUCGGGAAGAACACCAGUGGCGAAGGCGACGUGCUGGGUUGCACCUGACGCUGAGAUGCGAAAGUGUGGGGAGCAAACGGG
rnacentral:rRNA from 1 species